UAGAGUUUGAUCCUGGCUCAGGACGAACGCUGGCGGCGUGCCUAAUACAUGCAAGUCGAGCGGAGAUUUGAAAAGCUUGCUUUUCAAAUCUUAGCGGCGGACGGGUGAGUAACACGUGGGCAACCUGCCCUUGAGACGGGGAUAACUCCGGGAAACCGGAGCUAAUACCGGAUAACACAUAUCUUCGCAUGAGGAUAUGUUAGAAGGUGGCUUUUAGCUACCACUCAAGGAUGGGCCCGCGGCGCAUUAGCUAGUUGGUGAGGUAACGGCUCACCAAGGCGACGAUGCGUAGCCGACCUGAGAGGGUGAUCGGCCACACUGGGACUGAGACACGGCCCAGACUCCUACGGGAGGCAGCAGUAGGGAAUCUUCCGCAAUGGACGAAAGUCUGACGGAGCAACGCCGCGUGAGUGAUGAAGGUUUUCGGAUCGUAAAGCUCUGUUGUUAGGGAAGAACAAGUACCUGUUAAAUAAGCAGGUACCUUGACGGUACCUAACCAGAAAGCCACGGCUAACUACGUGCCAGCAGCCGCGGUAAUACGUAGGUGGCAAGCGUUGUCCGGAAUUAUUGGGCGUAAAGCGCGCGCAGGCGGUUCCUUAAGUCUGAUGUGAAAGCCCACGGCUCAACCGUGGAGGGUCAUUGGAAACUGGGGAACUUGAGUGCAGAAGAGGAGAGCGGAAUUCCACGUGUAGCGGUGAAAUGCGUAGAGAUGUGGAGGAACACCAGUGGCGAAGGCGGCUCUCUGGUCUGUAACUGACGCUGAGGCGCGAAAGCGUGGGGAGCGAACAGGAUUAGAUACCCUGGUAGUCCACGCCGUAAACGAUGAGUGCUAAGUGUUAGAGGGUUUCCGCCCUUUAGUGCUGCAGCAAACGCAUAAGCACUCCGC
rnacentral:rRNA from 1 species